UUUCAUGCUGAAUUGAUUAUUUGUGAAAGAAGGAAUUAUUCUUUAAUUGAAUAAUCUUUGGUUAUUAAUUGAAAAAAAGAACUGGGCUUCGGUUGAUAAUGCCAAAAGGAUCUGAGUGGGCUACAGAAAAUGGUGGAAUUUAUAAAAAGGAAAUUAUUAUGUUUUGGCUAGGGCCAAUCGAGUACCCACUCAUGGCAUUUUAUCGGGAAUGAUAAAACUGGUUAUUUGAUUAUUUGCUUGGAAUGAUAUGAUCUACCGGCUCGAUGACUCUACGGAGCAUCUGGAGACA
rnacentral:lncRNA from 1 species